rnacentral:tRNA from 1 species
GGCUGGUUAGCUCAGUCGGUUGGAGCGUGGUGCUGAUAACACCAAAGCCGCAGGUUCGACUCCCGCUCAGUCC